UUUAUUGGAGAGUUUGAUCCUGGCUCAGGAUGAACGCUGGCGGCGUGCCUAAUACAUGCAAGUCGAGCGAAUGGAUUAAGAGCUUGCUCUUAUGAAGUUAGCGGCGGACGGGUGAGUAACACGUGGGUAACCUGCCCAUAAGACUGGGAUAACUCCGGGAAACCGGGGCUAAUACCGGAUAACAUUUUGAACUGCAUGGUUCGAAAUUGAAAGGCGGCUUCGGCUGUCACUUAUGGAUGGACCCGCGUCGCAUUAGCUAGUUGGUGAGGUAACGGCUCACCAAGGCAACGAUGCGUAGCCGACCUGAGAGGGUGAUCGGCCACACUGGGACUGAGACACGGCCCAGACUCCUACGGGAGGCA
rnacentral:rRNA from 1 species